AAAUGGCUGCCAUGCUCAGGGGAAAAUGAGAUGUCCUGGUUUCUUCUGGGACACUUACGGGGGCAGGCAGGGAUUUAAAGAAUGUACAUUCUCACAUCCAAAAGGCACCAAUUUAGCCCCCACCCCCUAGACAUUACUAGAAUUUUGAGGUUCAUAUGGUGACUCUCCAC